UUGAAAUGAAAUUAAAUUAGUUGUAGGGAAAUGCAUAAUUCAAAUUCAUGCAGUGUCUUUCACUAAAAUUUCUCAUCCAGCAGUGGUGGAGCUAAUUUAUUUUUACAAACGUAGUCUAGUAUUUUAUAGAGAAAUUUGUUGUUUUUCGAGUAGUCUAAACGACCCCUUGGAAAAAAAAUAUUCUAUAUUCGGCCCGAGUGAAGAUAAAAUCCUGGUUCCACCAUUGCCAGCAAAGAUACUAAUUCUCUUUACAUGAUACAGACCUAUAGAAUCAAGAAAGCGAACUGUCUUCUUUAUUUUAAUAUUUCUAAUGAACAAUAAUAAUAGAAGUUCUUCGCCAAAUAAUAAUUGUCUUUCCCACUAAAACUACCUUUUUAGGUUCAUUUGCACGUUAAGCGUGCCUUCAUUCUAAGAAAAUCCGAACUCGGACUUCUUAAAUCUACACCAUAUGUUUUCGUAGUGUUGCACGAAUCUUAAAAAAUGCUAAUAUAGUAAUGUCUAUAGUUUUUCAUGUUUCAUUCUUUGAUUUCUGAUUCUUCUCUGUUUUUUUUAGCCUUGGAGCAUAAAAGAAGAUCAAGCUAAAGAUGACAACAGGAAGAAGAGGAAAUGCCAAGUGUCAGACAGUCCUCUUGGUCCUAAGAGCUUCUAGGCAUAGGAACAUGCAGCAAAAGGCUUAAUUCGACAAGGGCAAUUCCUUCUUUCAACCAAAGGCCCGUUACACGCAACAACUCAAAAAGUUUUAUAUGGCAAGCGCAUAACUCCUUGGACGAAUUCAAGAAUCUGAAAUUUAUUCAAUGUGGUUGAAAUGGAUGCCGAGGGCAGAUUCAGCACUAUAAUUAUUUCGUCGAUCGUUCACAUUCUCAGAGAGAUACAUCAGGGCUGAGUAACAAGAGCACAGAGCUCAAACUCCAGUUACGAGCCAUGGAGCCGCAAUUGUGUGACGGUUCAAUUGAUAAAAAGAAACAGGGAAGAGAAAGAAAUGCUAUCGAUUGUAUUGUUGCUGCAUUUUACGGAGUUCUUGUCUGAUUAUAGUUAGGUUUACGACUGACCAGACUAGUUUACAAUGUAUGUAUGUACUUUUAUUCGACAAAUCGUAUUGUAAGGAAAAAAUCUUUGGUAAAUGUUAUUUUUGUUAUUUGUUGUUA